rnacentral:rRNA from 1 species
CAGCAGCCGCGGGAAUACGUAGGGUGCAACCGUUAAUCGGAAUUACUGGGCGUAAAGCGUGCGCAGGCGGUUUGUUAAGACAGAUGUGAAAUCCCCGGGCUCAACCUGGGAACUGCAUUUGUGACUGGCAAGCUAGAGUCUGGCAGAGGGGGGUGGAAUUCCGCGUGUAGCAGUGAAAUGCGUAGAUAUGCGGAGGAACACCGAUGGCGAAGGCAGCCCCCUGGGCCAACACUGACGCUCAUGCACGAAAGCGUGGGGAGCAAACAGGAUUAGAUACCCCCGUAGUCCCUGUCUCUUAUAC